GUUUGAUCCUGGCUCAGAGCGAACGCUGGCGGCGUGCUUAACACAUGCAAGUCGAGCGCAGGCAUCUUGGGGGUAACUCUAGGGUGCGCUGAGCGGCGGACGGGUGAGUAAUACGUGAAUAACCUACCUCUAGGACUGGAAUAACUCCGGGAAACUGGAGCUAAUACCGGAUAAGACCACGAUGUCUACGGGCGUUGGGGUAAAAGGUGGCGGGGAAACUCGCUAUCACCUGGGGAUGGGUUCGCGUCCCAUCAGGUAGUUGGUGAGGUAAUGGCUCACCAAGCCAAAGACGGGUAGCUGGCCUUAGCGGGUAACCAGCCACACGGGAACUGAGAGACGGUCCCGACUCCUACGGGAGGCAGCAGUGGGGAAUAUUGGGCAAUGGGCGAAAGCCUGACCCAGCGACGCCGCGUGGGGGAUGAAGGUCUUCGGAUCGUAAACCCUUGUCAGGAGGGAUGAUGGGUCUGUGGGCUAAUAUCCCACAGAUUUGACAGUACCUCCAGAGGAAGCCCCGGCUAACUCCGUGCCAGCAGCCGCGGUAA
rnacentral:rRNA from 1 species